GGCUUCUGGUUUCUCUUCAUUACGCACAAGCCUUUCGCCUUUUACUAAAGACUUUGGUGGAGAGGAACACUUACGAGUUCAACAUAUUUUUGGAGGGGAUUUGCUUCUGUCAGAGCC
ensembl:snRNA U5 U5 spliceosomal RNA